GGAGUGCCUUGAUCAUUUUCUACAAAUUUCUAAAAAGUUAGGUAUACAACGUCAUAUCAAAUUCCGGAGUCAGAGCGACUUUGUCCAGAAGAGAUGGUCUGAGGCACUCAGCGCUCAAACGUUUACGGACCUCCCAGUCCAGAGGUCUUCUGAUAAAAAAAAUGUAUAUAUUGGGCCAAGUAAUCUGGCAAGGUCCAGUCAGAGGACCGUGGGUGUCUGAUAUGAUUAGGGUCGAAGAGCGGUUGGCCCAGAGAAUCCAAGAAGGUAUCAGUUCCUUCUGGAGGCAGUGACAAGGAAGCUGAGUCAUGAGUAUAGAGGGUGUCUCCCACGUUUGCAUCUGGCCAAGCCAGAUCAUCUUUUGAGUCAGAGUAAAUGCUCUCGAUUCAUCCAACACCUCCAUAGGUGGAGGGGGAGGCGGGACCAAGCCAGAUCAUCUUUUGAGUCAGAGUAAUCGGCUCUCGAUUCAUCCAACACCUCCAUAGGUGGAGGUGUCGGAUGAAUCGAGGGUAGAAUGGUUAGUAAAUUUCUCCUUUGCUUCUGGCUGUUUGGCCUGUUUUGCCGGGGCUUUACCCUUGCUGUUCUUGGGUUCCAGACAAUCCCCUUUCCAGUAGUGUUUGCAUGGAUGCAGAGGCAUCUGAAUCCUCAGGGGAAUUGGGUGUUUCCAGUGGCCUGUUAUCUUUAGGGUCUAGUGGCAGGACAUGUGCCAGCGCUUUCUCCACAGAUGCGGCCACCGCCGCAUUAAUGAGGGCCUGUAAGCU